rnacentral:rRNA from 1 species
CGCCGCGUGGGGGAGUGAAGGCUCGGUUGUAAACCCUUCAGCAGGGACGAAGCGAAAGUGACGGUACCUGCAGAAGAAGCGCCGGCUAACUACGUGC